rnacentral:misc_RNA from 1 species
UGGUUCUGGCAUCGAUGAAGAACGCAGCGAAAUGCGAUAAGUAAUGCGAAUUGCAGAAUUCAGUGAGUCAUCGAAUCUUUGAACGCACAUUGCGCCCUUUGGCAUUCCGAAGGGCAUGCCUGUUCGAGCGUCAUUACACCCCUCAAACCUCCCCCUGGUUUGAUGUUGGGCGUGGCCCUCUCCCCCGAGGGCCCGUCUUAAAGGCAGCGACGGUCCCCCCCUGUGAACCUCGAGCGCACAACAGUCGCGACGUGGGCCCAUGGGCUUGAUGGCCGGUCACAAACCUUUCAUUAUCAAAUGUUGACCUCGGAUCAGGUAGGAAUACCCGCUGA